GGAGGGGUGUCCGAGCGGUUUAAGGAGGCGGUCUUGAAAACCGUUGUAGGGGUGACUCUACCGUGGGUUCGAAUCCCACUCCCUCCG
rnacentral:tRNA from 1 species